rnacentral:tRNA from 1 species
GCGGGAUUGGCGGAACUGGCAGACGCGCUAGACUUAGGAUCUAGUGUCAACGACGUGGGGGUUCAAGUCCCUUAUCCCGCACCA